GACGAACGCUGGCGGCGUGCUUAACACAUGCAAGUCGAACGAAGUGGCGAACGGGUGAGUAAUACGUGGGUAACCUGCCCUCCUUUUUGGGAUAAGCCUUGGAAACGGGGUCUAAUACCGAAUAAAGGGGGAUGGGCUCGCGGCCUAUAAGCUUGUUGGCGGGGUGAUGGCCUACCAAGGCGGUGACGGGUAGCCGGCCUGAGAGGGGGACCGGCCACAUUGGGACUGAGAUACGGCCCAGACGCCUACGGGAGGAAGAAGGGGGGGAUAUUGCACAAUGGGCGAAAGCCCGAUGCAGCGACGCCUCGUGGGGGAUGAAGGCUGUCGGGUUGUAAAGCUCGUUCGAUAUCGAGCGGGUAGGUGGAGAAGAAGCGCCGGCUAACUACGUGCCAGCAGCCGCGGUAAUAC
rnacentral:rRNA from 1 species